rnacentral:misc_RNA from 1 species
GUUUAUCAGCUUGAAGAUCAGUUUCCAAAAGAGUUCGUAUUUGUCUUGAUGGUUAUCUUCUUCUUGAUUGUACUUGAUCGCAUUAUUUACCUCUGUUCAUUUGCCACUGGAAAGGUGAUCUUUUAUAUUUUCAACCUCAUUCUCUUUACAUAUUCAGUUGUAGCAUAUGCUUGGCAUUUGGAAUCUUCCCAAGAGCAUGCUGCAAGAAAUAUAGCACGGAGUGCAAACC